UACGGAGGGUGCAAGCGUUAUUCGGAUUCACUGGGCGUAAAGGGUGCGCAGGCGGUUGGGUGUGUCAGAUGUGAAAUCCCGAGGCUCAACCUCGGAACUGCGUCUGAAACUACUCGACUAGAGUACUGGAGAGGGUAACGGAAUUCACGGUGUAGCAGUGAAAUGCGUAGAUAUCGUGAGGAACACCAGAGGCGAAGGCGGUUACCUGGACAGUUACUGACGCUCAGGCACGAAAGCAUGGGGAGCAAAAGGG
rnacentral:rRNA from 1 species